AUAAAAUCUAGCAUAUUAAUAUUUAAAUGUACAUAUAUUUUUCACGUUUUCAAUGCCAAUUUUGUGUAAUGGCAAAGUUUCCCACUACCCGUGAAUGCCUCUUUUUUUACGUCUACGGCUGUCUACUGAAUCUCCGCCCACUCUCUGCCUGAUCGCUGCCGAGUGAAAGAGAUCUUUGGUUUUGCCUUUGCUGACUGCUGAUCUGAUCAUCUCAAGUCUGGUGACCUGCUGCAGAAAACCCUCUCCCUCUAUCAUUAUCAAGCAAUUCUGUCUAUCCUAUCACUCUCCCAACUCUAUCUAAUUUGACAGCCAUUCCAUCUUGUAUCCCUCUAUCUCUACUGCUCUA